AGGAUUAACGCUGGCGGCGUGCCUAACACAUGCAAGUCGAACGAGGUAGCAAUACCUAGUGGCAGACGGGUGAGUAGCGCGUGGUCAACCUACCGUUGAGUGGGGGAUAACUAGCCGAAAGGUUAGCUAAUACCGCAUACGUCUCCGAGGGGCAUCCCUUGGUGAUAAAAGGAGCAAUCCGCUCGAUGACGGGACCGCGUCCCAUUAGCUAGUUGGUGGGGUAACGGCCUACCAAGGCAUCGAUGGGUAGCUGGUUUGAGAGAGCGACCAGCCACACUGGGACUGAGAUACGGCCCAGACUCCUACGGGAGGCAGCAGUGAGGAAUUUUCCGCAAUGGGCGAAAGCCUGACGGAGCGACGCCGCGUGUGGGAAGAAGGCCUUCGGGUCGUAAACCACUGUCGAAGGGAAGAUAAUGACGGUACCCUUGGAGGAAGCCCCGGCUAACUACGCGCCAGCAGCCGC
rnacentral:rRNA from 1 species